rnacentral:rRNA from 1 species
AAUAAAUUUAAGAUUUAAAGUUAAAUGAUUAAUAGUUAUGGUCUUUAAAGUUAAAUAAUUUGGCGGUAUUUUAGUCUUUUCAGAGGAACCUGUUCUAUAAAUGAUAAUCCACGAGUAUAUCGUCUUAAAUUAGAAGUUUGUAUAUCAUCGUUAUUAAGUAUUUUUUUAGAAUUUAAUAUUUAGAAUAUAAAAUUUUAUUUUAGUUCAGAUCAUGGUAUAGUUUAUAUUUAAGUAGAAAUGGGUUACAAUAUUAAAAAAUUUGAAUUUUAAAUUUUAAAUUUAAAUGAAAUUGGAUUUGAAAGUAAUUAUUUUUAUAAAAAUAAUGAUUAAGCUCUAAAAUAUGU